CCUACGGGUGGCAGCAGUGAGGAAUAUUGGUCAAUGGUCGCGAGCCUGAACCAGCCAAGUAGCGUGAAGGAUGACUGCCCUACGGGUUGUAAACUUCUUUUAUAAGGGAAUAAAGUGAGGCACGUGUGCCUUUUUGUAUGUACUUUAUGAAUAAGGAUCGGCUAACUCCGUGCCAGCAGCCGCGGUAAUACGGAGGAUCCGAGCGUUAUCCGGAUUUAUUGGGUUUAAAGGGUGCGUAGGUGGGUGGUUAAGUCAGUUGUUAAAGUUUGCGGCUCAACCGUAAAAGUGCAAUUGAUACUGGAAGUCUUGAGUACAGGAGAGGUAUGCGGAAUUCGGGGUGUAGCGGUGAAAUGCAUAGAUAUCACGAAGAACUCCGAUUGCGAAGGCAGCUUACUAGACUGCCACUGACAUUGAUGCUCGAAAGUGUGGGUAUCAAACAGGAUUAGAUACCCGGGUAGUC
rnacentral:rRNA from 1 species